UCUAGCGAGACUGCCGGUAAUAAACCGGAGGAAGUGGGAGUGACGGUCAAAUCAUCAUGCCCCUUAUGACCUGGGCUACACACGUGCUACAAUGGUUGGUACAACGAGUUGCGAGUCGGUGACGGCGAGCUAAUCUCUUAAAGCCAAUCUCAGUUCGGAUUGUAGGCUGCAACUCGCCUACAUGAAGUCGGAAUCGCUAGUAAUCGCGGAUCAGCACGCCGCGGUGAAUACGUUCCCGGGCCUU
rnacentral:rRNA from 1 species